rnacentral:rRNA from 1 species
AGCGAACGCUGGCGGCAGGCCUAACACAUGCAAGUCGAACGAACCUUUCGGGGUUAGUGGCGGACGGGUGAGUAACACGUGGGAACGUGCCUUUAGGUUCGGAAUAACUCAGGGAAACUUGUGCUAAUACCGAAUGUGCCCUUCGGGGGAAAGAUUAAUCGCCUUUAGAGCGGCCCGCGUCUGAUUAGCUAGUUGGUUGAGGUAAUGGCUCACCAAGGCGACGAUCAGUAGCUGGUCUGAGAGGAUGAUCAGCCACAUUGGGACUGAGACACGGCCCAAAAUCCUACGGGAGGCAGCAGUGGGGAAUCUUGCGCAAUGGGCGAAAGCCUGACGCAGCCAGGCCGCGUGAAUGAUGAAGGUCUUAGGAUUGUAAAAUUCUUUCAACGGGGACGAUAAUGACGGUACCCGGAGAAGAAGCCCCGGCUAACUUCGUG